rnacentral:rRNA from 1 species
AGCGAACGCUGGCGGCAGGCCUAACACAUGCAAGUCGAACGAACUCUUCAGAGUUAGUGGCGGACGGGUGAGUAACACGUGGGAACGUGCCUUUUGGUUCGGAAUAACUCAGGGAAACUUGUGCUAAUACCGAAUGUGCCCUUCGGGGGAAAGAUUUAUCGCCAUUAGAGCGGCCCGCGUCUGAUUAGCUAGUUGGUGAGGUAACGGCUCACCAAGGCGACGAUCAGUAGCUGGUCUGAGAGGAUGACCAGCCACACUGGGACUGAGACACGGCCCAGACUCCUACGGGAGGCAGCAGUGGGGAAUCUUGCGCAAUGGGCGAAAGCCUGACGCAGCCAUGCCGCGUGAAUGAUGAAGGUCUUAGGAUUGUAAAAUUCUUUCACCGGGGACGAUAAUGACGGUACCCGGAGAAGAAGCCCCGGCUAACUUCGU